AGGGAGGGGACUCGCGGCAGCAACAAAGUGGGCCGCCCUGUCUUCAAACUGAGGAUAAGAGCAAGUGAUGGAGUCUCCGGCCACAGCUUGAAAGCAACCCAUCAAUGUCAUCUUGAGUUAAGUACCUGAUUCUGGCACUUUGCUGUAGUUCUUGGGGGGAUAAGGGUUCUGACAGGGUCAUUGUUUCAAGUGGAGUUCAGUCUUUUGUUUGCCAUAAACGAAGAAGACAGGAAGUCAGCUGUGAGGUUUAGGAAUAAUAUUUAGAUAAUUGUGAGAUAUCUCAUCUUAAAGUUCAAACUGAUUGAACCUGAGCUGAGUUUUGAGUCAAACUUUGUUUACGGGCUCAUCAUCCUUGUGGCUGACACUUGCAAAGAGAGAAAGAGAGAGAAAAACAGGGAAAGAGAAUGAGCCAGGACUUACGGUUUCUUUCUGACCUUGGCAAGAGGGAAAAAUCCAUACGGAAAACAAACCGAUAAAUAAUAAUAAAUAAUAACACCAACAGCGAUGCCAACGCUCCAGCAGCAGGAAAAUAAAAAUAACACUCCUUUGUGCCCACAUUCUUAAUAAUGCUGCAUAUGGCUAUUUAAUCCGAGCUUCUGCAAAAAGCUACCAGGAAGAUGCUUGCACCAAACACAGCAUGAGCCUUGCAUUUAAUCGGUUACUGUAAUAAACAUAUAAAAAAAGAUUUUUUUUUUUCCAGGAGAGGACAGAGCAGUGGCUACAUAAAAGGACAUCAAAUGACACAUCCUCCAUCUCCCAGCAAAUAAAAAAGCCAUCAGCUCAUAACAAGGCGGUGAUAAAAGAGCAUUUCCUUGGACCCUCUGAGAUAGGAGCUAAAGCACCGUUUGCAAAGCCGGGUGUCACAGAGCAAGGGGUUGCCCUCUGCAGACAGAGUCAGAGAUCAGACUCUGCAAAGAAGCAUGUACUGGCUAAUGGCUCUCUCCAGCGCUAAUGUUGACGGGAGAUGUAAAGCCCAUGUCCUACCACAACAAUGCAAGAAUUGUUUAUAAUUGUAUUUGGAAAUAAACAUUUAUUAAGUGCUUUGUAAAUGCA
rnacentral:lncRNA from 1 species